CAAAAAAGAAAGUAAAACUUUGUUUGGAAAUUCUUACAUAAAGCAUUAGUAGGAUUGAAAAAUAAGAAGGUAUAUCAUUGAUUAUCUUUCUCCCUUCUAGAAAAGAUCUCGUUCGGGUAGAAGCCACAGUCAUUGAAAAGACAGAAUCAUGGCCAAAAAUCAAUAUGAGAUUUCAGAAAAGGAAAAACUACAAGAGGAAGAAAGUUAUUGUGAACCCACAGACUGUCCUCCGGGUAAACACCAUCGAGAUCGCUCCACGUUUGUGCUGAUUGUGAAGCUCAUGUUUACAGUAUAUAAAAAUAAACUUUUCUGGAGGC